rnacentral:rRNA from 1 species
UACAGAGACUGCAAGCGUUAUUCGGAUUUACUGGGCGUAAAGAGCGCGCAGGCGGUCGUGCAAGUCGCGUGUGAAAGCCCCCGGCUCAACUGGGGAGGGUCACUCGAUACUGAUCGACUCGAAGGCAGGAGAGGGAAGCGGAAUUCCCGGUGUAGUGGUGAAAUGCGUAGGUAUCGGGAGGAACACCAGUGGCGAAGGCGGCUUUCUGGCCUGCUCUUGACGCUGAGGCGCGAAAGCUAGGGUAGCAAACGGG